rnacentral:sRNA from 1 species
UUGGAAAGNUAAAGUCGUAACAAGGUUUCCGUAGGUGAACCUGCGGAAGGAUCAUUACAGAAUGAAAAGUGCUUAACUGCAUUUUUUCUUACACAUGUGUUUUUCUUUUUUUGAAAACUUUGCUUUGGUAGGCCUUCUAUAUGGGGCCUGCCAGAGAUUAAACUCAACCAAAUUUUAUUUAAUGUCAACCGAUUAUUUAAUAGUCAAAACUUUCAACAACGGAUCUCUUGGUUCUCGCAUCGAUGAAGAACGCAGCGAAAUGCGAUAAGUAAUAUGAAUUGCAGAUAUUCGUGAAUCAUCGAAUCUUUGAACGCACAUUGCGCCCUUUGGUAUUCCAAAGGGCAUGCCUGUUUGAGCGUCAUUUCUCCCUCAAACCCUCGGGUUUGGUGUUGAGCGAUACGCUGGGUUUGCUUGAAAGAAAGGCGGAGUAUAAACUAAUGGAUAGGUUUUUUCCACUCAUUGGUACAAACUCCAAAACUUCUUCCAAAUUCGACCUCAAAUCAGGUAGGACUACCCGCUGAACUUAAGCAUAUCAAUAGCCGGGAGGNA